CAGCAGCCACGGUAAUACGUAGGGUGCGAGCGUUAAUCGGAACUACUGGGCGUAAAGCGUGCGCAGGCGGUUCGUUAAGACAGAUGUGAAAUCCCCGGGCUUAACCUGGGAACUGCAUUUGUGACUGGCGAGCUAGAGUAUGGCAGAGGGGGGUAGAAUUCCACGUGUAGCAGUGAAAUGCGUAGAGAUGUGGAGGAAUACCGAUGGCGAAGGCAGCCCCCUGGGCCAAUACUGACGCUCAUGCACGAAAGCGUGGGGAGCAAACAGGAUUAGAUACCCCCGUAGUCCCUGUCUCUUAUAC
rnacentral:rRNA from 1 species